CAGCAGCUCAAGUGGUGAUCCUUAUUAUUGGGCCUAAAGCGUCCGUAGCCUGUCUGGUAAAUCCUUGGGUAAAUCGUACCGCUUAACGGUACGACCUCUGGGGAGACUGCUAGACUUGGGACUGGGAGAGGUCGGAGGUACUCCAGGGGUAGGGGUGAAAUCCUGUAAUCCCUGGGGGACCACCAGUGGCGAAGGCGUCCGACUAGAACGGAUCCGACGGUGAGGGACGAAGCCGUGGGGCACAAACCGGAUUAGAUACCCGAGUAGUCC
rnacentral:rRNA from 1 species